rnacentral:sRNA from 1 species
GAUUCAGCAGUUUCCUGACUAGAGAUAGAGCCAGAGCAGAAGAUGGGCAGAGUCUGCAUGUGGCUGCAGGACCUCUGUCAGAGAAUGAAACACUCAUCUCAUGAUAGGGCCAGAUUUGAGUGUGUGAAUUUUUGAGUGAAACCUGGAACCCAAAUGAGAAGAAAUCUGCAAGGAAUAACUACUGACAGUGAAUCUGCGGUCAUCUGUAUGCAUAAUAUGGAAUGUUCUUAACCCAGAAGUAGCUGAAUGUGUUACUCCAUUGCUGAGGAGUGACUAUCUGUUAUAA